rnacentral:rRNA from 1 species
GACGAACGCUGGCGGCGUGCUUAACACAUGCAAGUCGAACGGAAAGGCCCUGCUUUUGUGGGGUGCUCGAGUGGCGAACGGGUGAGUAACACGUGAGUAACCUGCCCUUGACUUUGGGAUAACUUCAGGAAACUGGGGCUAAUACCGGAUAGGAGCUCCUGCUGCAUGGUGGGGGUUGGAAAGUUUCGGCGGUUGGGGAUGGACUCGCGGCUUAUCAGCUUGUCGGUGGGGUAGUGGCUUACCAAGGCUUUGACUGGUAGCCGGCCUGAGAGGGUGACCGGCCACAUUGGGACUGAGAUACGGCCCAGACUCCUACGGGAGGCAGCAGUGGGGAAUAUUGCACAAUGGGCGGAAGCCUGAUGCAGCAACGCCGCGUGCGGGAUGACGGCCUUCGGGUUGUAAACCGCUUUCGCCUGUGACGAAGCGUGAGUGACGGUAAUGGGUAAAGAAGCACCGGCUAACUACGUG